rnacentral:rRNA from 1 species
ACGAACGCUGGCGGCGUGCUUAACCCCUGCAAGUCGAACGGAAAGGCCCUGCUUUUGUGGGGUGCUCGAGUGGCGAACGGGUGAGUAACACGUGAGUAACCUGCCCUUGACUUUGGGAUAACUUCAGGAAACUGGGGCUAAUACCGGAUAGGAGCUCCUGCUGCCUGGUGGGGGUUGGAAAGUUUCGGCGGUUGGGGAUGGACUCGCGGCUUAUCAGCUUGUUGGUGGGGUAGUGGCUUACCAAGGCUUUGACGGGUAGCCGGCCUGAGAGGGUGACCGGCCACAUUGGGACUGAGAUACGGCCCAGACUCCUACGGGAGGCAGCAGUGGGGAAUAUUGCACAAUGGGCGGAAGCCUGAUGCAGCAACGCCGCGUGCGGGAUGACGGCCUUCGGGUUGUAAACCGCUUUCGCCUGUGACGAAGCGUGAGUGACGGUAAUGGGUAAAGAAGCACCGGCUAACUACGUG